AUGGAGGUUCUGAUUUCAGCAGCUGCGGGCGAUCUUGUCAGCAGGUUCAUCUCUUUCCUGGCUCAAAGUUAUGGCACCCACACAUGCGAGGAGGAGGAUCGUACAAGGCUGGAACGCAUCUUGCUGAGGAUGCACAGCGUUGUUGAAGAAGCAGAGGGGCGGCACAUCACAAAUCGAGGGAUGCUCCGGCAGCUGAAGGCGCUCAUCGAGGGUAUGUAUCUUGGGUACUACAUGCUGGACAGGCUCAGGGUCCAGUCUCUUGGAGAAGAGAGCAUCGAAGAUGACGAGGUGAGUCAUCGGAGCCAAUCUUUUGCCGUUUCUACUUUUAAUACCGCCAAGCGCCUUCGCUUUGCUGCUUCUAUAUCAAAGAACACACCAGUAGCAUUUGGGACCGGGAGCACAACAAAGUUGAAAAGUGUUGUUGAAAGUUUGGAGGCUCAUACUGCAGAUAUGAGAGAGUUUGUGAUGCUCCUUGGCAGCUGCCCUCGCCUGUCUCGCCAGCCAUAUGAUACGUAUCUACACAUGGAUAAGUGCAUGUUUGGUCGCCACAUCGAGAAAGAGCAACUCCUCAACUUCUUACUAUCUGGUGUUGAUAGUCAUGAUGGAACAAAUUUCAGCAUCCUUCCGAUCAUCGGCCCGUGCAGAGUCGGAAAGAAAACUCUGGUGCAACAUGCUUGCAGGGAUGAGAGGGUGCGGGGUCGUUUCUCCGACAUGUUUUUCUAUAAAGGCGAUGACCCGCAUAUCGGAGAAUUUGCGGUCAACUGCAAGGCAGGCUCGGGGAAGUACUUAUUUGUUGUUGAUUUCAGUUGGGAUGUGAAUGCGGCAGCAUGGGAAAACUUCCGAUCAUGUCUGCAGAAGAUGCCAGGUGCUGGGAGUAAAAUUGUAGUGAUAGGCAGAACAGAUCAAGUUGCUGAAAUGGGAACUGCCCAACCCAUCAGGAUGAAGAGUUUGCCGCAAGAAGAAUACUGGUACUUCUUCAAGGCACUUGCCUUUGGAAGCAUGGAUCCUGAUGAGUACCCAAAACUGGCAUCUCUGGGAAUGCAGUUGGCUACUCAGCUAAACGGAUCUUUUCUUGGUGCAAAUAUAAUUGGUGGGGUAUUAAGAGCUAAUCCUGAUACUAAAUUUUGGUGCAGCAUGUUACUGAGGAUAAGAGAACUAGUUCGCAAGCAUGGCUCCUUCGGCAUACACCCUGAGGACCUUUUCGAGAGAAAUAUCCCUAUCAACUUCACCAAGUUGUCCUAUGUGGGGGCUAAGGUUCAAGGAUGUUGGGCUUACGAUUUGAGGGAGACUGGCCCGGAGCAAAGUGAGCUGCCAAAACUGACAUGGCAACAACUGCUAACCGGUGCUGAAAUUCCUGAUGAUGAAGACAAGUUUGAUGUGUUGGCAUGGAGAUCUCGGAUCCCACCUUACCGCGACUACAUAGUUACUUUUGAGAAACAGAAACCACGUCGUAAAGUCAGCAGGAGGAAUCAUCUUGCGCCAAGAAAAACAUGGGAAUAA
rnacentral:rRNA from 1 species